AUUGAACGCUGGCGGCAGGCUUAACACAUGCAAGUCGAGCGGGGUGAUGGUGCUUGCACUAUCACUUAGCGGCGGACGGGUGAGUAAUGCUUAGGAAUCUGCCCAUUAGUGGGGGACAACAUCUCGAAAGGGAUGCUAAUACCGCAUACGUCCUACGGGAGAAAGCAGGGGAUCACUUGUGACCUUGCGCUUAUAGAUGAGCCUAAGUCGGAUUAGCUAGUUGGUGGGGUAAAGGCCUACCAAGGCGACGAUCUGUAGCGGGUCUGAGAGGAUGAUCCGCCACACUGGUACUGAGACACGGCCCAGACUCCUCCGGGAGGCAGCAGUGGGGAAUAUUGGACAAUGGGGGGAACCCGGAUCCAGCCAUGCCGCGUGUGUGAAGAAGGCCUUAUGGUUGUAAAGCACUUUAAGCGAGGAGGAGGCUCUUUUGGUUAAUACCCAAGAUGAGUGGACGUUACUCGCAGAAUAAGCACCGGCUAACUCUGUGCCAGCAGCCGCCGUAA
rnacentral:rRNA from 1 species